AUUGAACGCUGGUGGAAUGCUUUACACAUGCAAGUCGAACGGCAGCACGGACUUCGGUCUGGUGGCGAGUGGCGAACGGGUGAGUAAUACAUCGGAACGUGCCCAGUCGUGGGGGAUAACGUAGCGAAAGCUACGCUAAUACCGCAUACGAUCUAAGGAUGAAAGCGGGGGAUCGCAAGACCUCGCGCGAUUGGAGCGGCCGAUGGCAGAUUAGGUAGUUGGUAGGGUAAAGGCCUACCAAGCCGACGAUCUGUAGCUGGUCUGAGAGGACGACCAGCCACACUGGUACGGAGACACGGCCCAGACCCCUACGGGAGGCAGCAGUGGGGAAUUUUGGACAAUGGACGCAAGUCUGAUCCAGCCAUUCCGCGUGCAGGAUGAAGGCCCUCGGGUUGUAAACUGCUUUUGUACAGAACGAAAAGGCUCUGGUUAAUACCUGGAGCUCAUGACGGUACUGUAAGAAUAAGCACCGGCUAACUACGUGCCAGCCGCCGCCGUAA
rnacentral:rRNA from 1 species